CCUGGCCGGCGGCUGCAGGGCACAGGGGGUGCUGUCGGUCGUCCCCGCCCCCGCCGUCCGCCCCCAAACACCCUACCCCUCAGCCCAGCGGCCUUCCCAGCCCGAGGACAUCCUCCUGCCUCCGACACUCGCCGUGCGCAGCCGGUUCCUGCUAACAGGGUCUGACUAACCCAAACCCCAGGUUGGGUGUCCAGAAGCCAAGGUCUCUGCCUGACCCCUGCAAAGUCAGAAUCGAAGCCUAGGGGAACCAGGACUACCGUGGCUUCUCCCCUCUCGGAUGGAGUGAUCAUGCAGAAGAGGCAGGAAUGACUUCCCCCAAAUGUUAAUCACAGCUGGAUUGAAAGAAUAUUCGGGAAAUGUGGCAAUAUUGCUUAUAUAAGCAUCCUGCAUUAUAAGUCUAUUGGAGAUCCAAAGGGAUUUGCCUUUGUGGAAUCUGAGACAAAAAAACAAGCAUCAAAAGUUAUUGAGCUGAUGGAAUAAACCUGGGCCGCAACAUCACCUCUCCUGGAUGCCAUUUUCUCAUUUCUACAUUGGAAAGAAGGAGCAAUUGUCAGAAUCCUCACUGACCACUACUGGAAAACCCCAGAUGCACGACAAUGGGCCU